GGGCUGAAUGUGUGAGUGGGGGAUGACGUUUCCAGUUUGAAGGCAGCUGAUUGGAUGUCCCGGUGAAACCUGAUCUCUACUUGCGGAUUUCUGUAGGAAAAAAAAAAAAAGGGGAAGGAAAAGAAAUAGGCACCCAGGGCACUUAUGAUCAGCUCAGUUUGUGUUUCAUCUUUCCGCGGGCGCAAGUCUGGAAACAAGCCUCCUUCCAAGUCAUGUUUGAAAGGAAAUAUGGGCAAAAACGAGGACAGCGACAAAAUUGUCAUUAAUGUUGGGGGUAUCAGGCAUGAGACCUACAGGAGUACCCUCAAAACCUUGCCAGGUACCAGACUCUCCUGGCUCACUGAGCCUGAUGCCUUUAGUAACUUUGACUAUGACCCCAAAACAGACGAGUUCUUCUUUGACAGACACCCUCAAGUCUUUGCCUGUGUCUUGAACUACUAUAGGACUGGGAAGCUGCACUGUCCCUCCGAUGUGUGCGGACCCCUGUACGAGGAAGAGUUGGCUUUUUGGGGGAUUGAUGAGACUGAUGUGGAGGCAUGUUGUUGGAUGAAUUACAGGCAGCACAGGGAUGCAGAGGAAGCCCUGGAUAGCUUUGAGACUCCAGAGCCAGAGGAGGAAGAGGAUGGAGAUCUGAAAAGACUCUGCCUCCAAGAAGAUGGUAGAAAGCUGGGCUGGUGGAAGAGGUUGCGGCCUAAAGUCUGGGCUCUCUUUGAGGAUCCCUACUCUUCAAAAUAUGCCAGGUAUAUCGCCUUAGCUUCCCUAUUCUUCAUACUCAUCUCCAUCACAACGUUCUGCCUUGAGACCCAUGAGGCAUUUAAUGAUGUCAACAACAAGACUGAGGUCUUCACACAAGGCAACAUCACUAAGACGGAGACCAUAUUGGAAAUGGAGACUGCGCCUUUUCUCAAUUACGUAGAAGGCAUUUGUGUGAUCUGGUUCACUUUUGAGUUUCUAAUACGUGUUAUUUUCUGCCCAGAUAAAAUGGAGUUCAUUAAAAGCAGCUUAAACAUUAUAGACUUUGUGGCCAUUUUACCCUUCUACUUGGAAAUUGGCUUGAGUGGCUUGUCUUCCAAAGCAGCCAAGGAUGUUCUCGGUUUCCUUCGGGUUGUUCGAUUUGUUAGGAUCCUGAGAAUCUUUAAGCUCACUCGCCAUUUUGUUGGGCUCAGGGUUCUUGGCCACACUCUACGAGCCAGUACAAAUGAGUUUCUCCUUCUUAUCAUAUUUUUGGCACUUGGAGUUUUAAUCUUCGCUACCAUGAUAUACUACGCCGAAAGGAUUGGUGCUGACCCAGAUGACAUCACUGGAAGUAAGCACACCUACUUCAAAAACAUCCCAAUAGGGUUUUGGUGGGCUGUCGUAACUAUGACAACUUUGGGAUAUGGGGACAUGUACCCAAUGACUUGGUCUGGCAUGUUGGUGGGUGCUCUUUGUGCUUUGGCAGGUGUGCUAACUAUUGCUAUGCCAGUCCCUGUUAUUGUCAACAAUUUUGGAAUGUACUACUCCCUUGCUAUGGCUAAGCAAAAGCUACCAAAGAAAAAGAAUAAACAUAUUCCCCGACCUCCUCUACCUGGAUCACCCAAUUACUGUAAACCAGACUUGCAGUCUCCACAUAGAAGUGCUCAAGGAGAUGCCUGCCCUUUAGCUCAGGAGGAAAUCAUUGAGAUCAACAGAGCAGACUCCAAGCAGAAUGGGGAUGCUGCAAAUGCUGCACUGGCCAAUGAAGAUUGCCCUACUAUAGACCAGGCUCUGUCACCAGAGGAAAAGUCACCUAUCACGCCUGGUGGGAGGGAGAGAUAUAAUCGUGAUCGUGCUUGCUUCCUGUUGACCACGGGAGACUUUGCACAUUCCCCAGAUGGCAACAUCCGCAAAGGUUAUGAAAAAUCCCGGAGUCUAAACAGCAUAGCUGGCAUGAGUGGAAAUAUGCUCAGACUGUCUCCUAUCUCCACCCCAUUUGGGUCACCAUCUGCAGUGAGACGCCCACGGUCUCCCAUUCCCUCCAUCUUAUAGCAUGGACUCAACCAACUGAUAAGGGGAACAUUAACUAGUAAAUACAAUAAAAACAAACAGACAUCAACAAUGGCAAGAGAACAAAAUAAGAGACUUUAACAAAUUCUAUUAUUUUUUAAGUGGUUGAUGAAAAAUAUAGAUUAUAUGCAGAUAUAUUUAAAAAAAAAAGUUUGGCUUUUAAAAAAAAAAAAGACAAGGAAAAAAAGAAAAAAAAAUUUUUUGCACUUUGCUGAGAAAUAUAUAUAUAAAAUUAAAAAAAAAAAAAAGACUUUUAUGACUCCCCCUGCUGAUCCGAAUUGGUGUGCUCCAGGAAGAAGCUGAAUGCGGAGUUGACAAAAUAAGCUCUUCCGGUAAAGAAGCAAAAAAACACCAAAGGAGGUUUUACUGGGGACAAGGGCGAUACGAGGAAAAUUAUAAGGAGAGUCCUGUCCUUGUCCGAUAUAUGCAGGCGGAAGCUGUCACUGUGAAUUAAUUGAUUCCCUCCCAUAC